rnacentral:lncRNA from 10 species
CUCCGUUUGGGGUCCCUGACUUCCCUCAACAGCACAAGAAGACAGACACCAUUGUAAAAUGAUGGAGACUAAAACAAAGUAUUGCCACUUGGUUACAGGUCAUGUUGCCAAGGACAUGAAACAAGAUGGAGGCCUGCAGGGUCGAAGGAGUCCCAGUGCUUUAAAAUACACUCCAGGGGAGUACACGUUACUACCUUGUGAAGAGGGUGCCUGCUUCUGCUUCACCUUCAGCCAUGAUUGUAACUUUCCUGAGGCCUCCCCAGCCAUGCAGAACUGUGAGUCCAUUAAACUUCCUUUCACUAUAAAUCACUCAGUCUUGGUUAUUUAUUUAUAGCAGCAUGAGAACUGACUCAUACAGACCGUAACUGCUCCACAAAGGGCUAUGAAGUGGAGAAUUUGUCCCUAUCAGCAUCCACACACCCUGUGGGCUCAGGCAGUCUUACUGGGUCUCAUUUAGCAUGUCUAAUUAACAUUGCCGGAAGGGCAGAUUUACAUGCCUUCUGCUUUAUGAUGCUAGGUAGGGGAAACAUUUCCCCAGUCUGAUACAAUAACUAUUUUAAAAGUCAUUUAGGUAAAGGAGAUACAACUACUUUACAUUGUAAACCAAAAAGUAUCUGAGACAGGUCUCAAUCAAUUUAGAGGUUUAUUUUGCCAAGGUUGAGGACAUGCCCAGGAAAAAGGAACACAAAACCACAGGAGCAUCUGUGAUCCAUUAUUUUUCCAAAGAAGGUUUGAGACCUUCAUGAUUUAAAGGGGAGGCCGGGAGUGGCAGCUCAUGCCUGUUGUCCCAGCACUUUGGGAGGCGGAGGUGGGCGAUCACUUGAGGUCAGGACUUGAGGACCAGCCCGACUAACAUUGCAAAACCCUGUGUCUACUAAAAAUACAAAAAUUAGUUGGGCAUGGUGGUGCAUGCCUGUAAUCCCAGCUACUUGGAAGGCUGAGGCACAAGAAUCGCUUGAGCCCGGGAGGCAGAGGUUGCAGUGAGCCAAGAUUGCACCAUUGCACUCCAGCCUGGGUGAUAGAACGAGACUCCAUUUCAAAAAAAGAAAACAAAGAUGAAGGGAAAGAGCAGGCAGGCAGUAGGGAAAGACAAGAGAAGAAAAAAAGUGAAGGAGGGGUGUGAAAAGAGGCAAGUGGUUACAUUCUUUUGCAGCUUUAAUCAACAUUCUUUGAAUCCACAUGUUACUGUGGGUAGAUAAAUAGUCAAUUAUGCAUUCAUCUCAGGCUCAGUGAAUCUGCAUUAAUAUGCAUUUGUCUCAGGUAGGUGGAGGGAUGACUUCUGGUCCUGUCUUUGUCCCCUACUUGCUAAGAUAAGCUAUUAACUUACAUUGUCAGGGAGAAAUUCAACAGAACUGCUUUAGGGUAAGGAUCUUAGGGCCUGCAAGGAAUUUCCUUGUGGGCAAAUUGUGAGAGAGCACCCCUGGGGAGGGAUGUGGGCUUUUAUCUUUGUAGGAACAAAAAUAGGCAGUUUUGUGUGACUCAGUUCCCAAGCUUGACAUUUCCCUUUGGCUUAGUGAGUUUGGGGUCCCAAGAUUUUAUUUUCCUUUCACAGACAUAAAACCUGUUGAAACAUUCCAACUUUCUUAAUUCUAUCAACCCUUGCAUCUUUAUGUUCUGGUCCCAGGCACCUUUUCUUGUCCAAUCCCAGACCAUUUUACCCUUCCUGGUGAAAAAGGCUUUGAGUCCCCAGCAGGGGUGCUGAACCAAGGAACCCUGGCUCCUUUCAUCAAUCUUAUCUUGAUGAACAUUGUCGCAGGCAAUUCUUCAGCUCUCUCAUUGUAAUCUCUGCCCUCAUAUUUUUUCAUAAAUCUCUCCAAUCUAGGGUAAAUAUGGCACUGAUUUGGGGCCCUUGGAGGACAAAUGUUAGAGGACCAGCUGGGGCUCUCUUUGGUUUCCCAACUUUCUUUUUUUUUUCUUAAAACCCUCAUACAAACACCCAACUUUCAAUAGUGUUGUAUUAAGACCUUUAUUUUAGUGCCAAUUUCCAUUUUAUUCAUUUCAUUUCUUUCUUUCUUUCUUUUUUUUUUUUUUUUUAAUUUUGAGGUGGAAUCUCACUUUGUCACCUAGGCUGGAGUGCCAUGUGAUCUUGGCUCACUGCAACCUCCACCUCCCAGGUUCAAGUAAUUCUCUGCCUCAGCCUCCCGAGUAGCUGGGAUUACAAGUGCCCACCACCACACCCAGCUAAUUUUUUUUUUUUUUAUGAGAUGCAGUUUUGCUCUUGUUGCCCAGGCUGGAGUGCAGUGGCGCAAUCUCAGCUCACUGCAGCCUCUACCUCCUGGGUUCAAGCAAGUCUUCUGCCUCAGCCUCCCGAGUAGCUAGGAUUACAGGCAUGCACCACCACACCUGGCUAAUUUUGCAUUUUUAGUAGAGAUGGGGUUUCUCCAUGUUUGUCAAGGCUGGUCUCACACUCCUGACCUGAGUUGAUCCACCUGCCUCGGC